CCUACGGGAGGCUGCAGUGGGGAAUAUUGCACAAUGGGGGAAACCCUGAUGCAGCGACGCCGCGUGAGUGAAGAAGUAAUUCGUUACGUAAACCUCUUUUGUCAGGGAGCAAAGGGCGCCACGUGUGGCGCUUUGCGAGUACCUGAAGAAAAAGCAUCGGCUAACUCCGUGCCAGCAGCCGCGGUAAUACGGAGGAUGCGAGCGUUAUCCGGAUUUAUUGGGUUUAAAGGGUGCGCAGGCGGAAUGUCAAGUCAGCGGUAAAAUUUCGGGGCUCAACCCCGUCGUGCCGUUGAAACUGGCGUUCUUGAGUGAGCGAGAAGUAUGCGGAAUGCGUGGUGUAGCGGUGAAAUGCAUAGAUAUCACGCAGAACUCCGAUUGCGAAGGCAGCAUACCGGCGCUCAACUGACGCUCAUGCACGAAAGCGUGGGUAUCGAACAGGAUUAGAUACCCGAGUAGUC
rnacentral:rRNA from 1 species